UGUGGGAAAGCUGGCCCUCUUCAGGGAAUACAGGAAACCUUGGACCUCCUUGCCUGGUUCCUGGAAUGGUCCAGACCUGGAAGAUGCCCCGGGCUAGAUACAGGGAUGCUGCUCUGUAAAGAACAGGUAGAGAAAGGUAGGGGCGGCAGCCAUCUGGCCUGGAUUCUCCCGACAGCCCUGAUUUCAGGCCCUUGGCCCCUUUCCUCAGGAAGCCACAGAAAAGCGGGGGGAGGACCGUGGACCCCGGGCCAGCGGCGUGUCUGCAAAUGCCCACUGCCCACCCAAGCCGCCCAGGAAGUACUUCCUGUCUGCGGUCGCUGCAGAGGAGAGAGCUGGGCCCAGGCCUCGGGUCAGAGCUUCACAGAGCUUCUCUAAGGUAAAGUCAUAGUAAGUGCUAAGGCCCCUUUCGGCCCUGACACUCCCUGUUCUAAGCCCCCUCCCAGCCCUGACAUUCCCUGUUUUAAGGUCCUUCCUAGUCCUGACACUCCCUGUUCUAAGCCCCCUCCCAGCCCUGACACUUCCUGUUCUAAGCCUCCCCCCCGCCCAGCUCUGAUACUAGGCCAUGGAAUAUAUGGUGAGAUGUGACCCAAGCUGGCCCCGGGGGUGCUGCCCGUUUCCUCUGCUCUGGGUCUUGAACAGACCCGCUGUGAGGGACGUGGGGUCAGACUGCCAUGCCGGAGCCCCCAGCUCAGACGGAAAAGGGCUUCCUGGGCAACAUUCACGGCCACCGCCGUCCCCCUCCUCCAGGGAGCCUCCCAGUCCCCCACAGUGACUGACCAGUCCAACAGACCAGCUUUUAAGGGCAACAGAGCGCCCACCGAGCAACUGGAGAUGCCGCCAUGAAAGAGGGAGCGGGACUGGGCCUCCAGUCUCUGUCCUUCGCCUAGAAGCGUCUCUGACUUCAGACUGAUCCCGCAGCCACCCGGACCAGCCUCCCAGCAGGGCCAGGCCCACAUGGGCUGGGGGCGCUAGUUCUCAUUUCUCUCCUCAUCUUGUCCUUUGCCCCCCUCUCCCCCCCCCCCACCCCAGGCUGGGGAAGUUACGGAAAGGGGAGGGAGGCCUGGAGUCGGGGACACUGGGCCGGAGGGAGGUCGGGAGCCUCAGAUGAGACCAGGUCCGGCAGACUUUGAAAAGGAUGGGCCUUGAGUUCAGAGUCCCCACUUUCCCCGUGACUUUGGACAAGUCUUUGUCUUCUUGGAGUGAAAUGACCCACAUCAGAGGAGGAGACUGAGGCAGUCUGAGGUGGAACAACCUGGCCAGUGUCACAUAGCUAUUCUGAAUUCUUUCUCUUCCUUCCCCCACAUACGGAGAUGGCAAGAAACAGAAAACUGCAAAUAUACAAUUAUGCUAAUAUAUUCCCACAUCAGCCACGGACAAAAACAAGGAAAAUAAAACGAAGAAAAAGUGGCGCGAGGGGCCCGAGCUCUCUCCUGGAGCAGACCACUUUUCAUCGAGUGCUCUAGCACUGGGUUGGGCGCUGCGUUGACUGGAGGUCCUAAAUCCGGGGGUCUUCCCGUUGGGCCCGCGCCCUCGGCGGAGCUGGGACGGAGUGCGGACGUUUCUGCUGCGCCUCUGGUUUCCUUCCUGCUCGCCCAGCCCUGCUUCUGUGGGCCUCUCCUCCGAUUCCUGGCCCCCCGACCGGCUCUGGGCCUUGCCUCAGCUCGGGCCUGUCUCCCUUGAUGAGGGGUGACUUCCUUCUGGAUCCCGCCUCUUCGGGCACACUUGGCCCCUAAGUCGUCACCCUGCCAUUCGGGCUCCGGCCAUCUCCCCUUGGUCAGCUAACUGCUGCGGCUCCAGAGGAAGAAAUGGGCUCAGUGCCCCCCCUCCCCCCUGCAUCUCAGCCCCUCCCCCCUCCCCCCUGCAUCUCAGCCCCUCCCCCCAUCUAAAUGGGUCUGAAGCAGGCUGAGCUGGGGUCCUCAGGCGCCCAAAUCCCACCUUCUCCCACUAACCCACACCCAACUUCCAUUUGGACCCAAGCCCACUGACCCAGAUCCACGUGAAGGAGCACUGAGUCGGCUUCUUUUGACUCUCAGUUUCCCCAACUGUCAAAUACCCGAGAACGGUUCAGAGUCCAUCUCCUAGCAACAGGGGAGACCUGUGACGCUUCACCUUGAGGCCGCUAGGUGGCGUCGUGCGCAGAAAGAGGCAAGACCCGAGUUCUAAUGUUCUCAGAACUGCACUUAUGGUUGCCUCAGUUUGUCUUCUGCGAAGUGGGGCCGCUAGGGGGCGCCGCAGCGCGCGGAGCACCGGCUCGCAGUGUCCAGGAGCUCGAAUCCAGGCUGGAGCUCUCCCCACGUGGGUGGCCCAGGUGGCCUCACUUUCCCCCUCUGUAAUACGAGCUGGAGCAGGAAAUGGCCGAGCCCUCCAGCGACUCUGCCCAGAAAACCCUAAAUGCGGCCACGCAGAGCGGACCGAACAGCCACAGAUGGGGCUAACAAGCGGAAGUGGAGCCGUUUCUGCAGAAACGAGCCGAGUCCGGCCAGGGCGCCACCUUCCCGCUCCGCUAGUUCGGAGGUCGGGCCCGUGCCCCUCCUUUUCAUCAAACGGGGACAGGUCCGCCCCAGGGCUCUUUGGGCCGGGGACGGGGCCGAGCUCGGUGACCCGGGCAGAGGGGACCACGAUGCACCGCGGGAAGGGCUCCGGGAAGGCCGGAGCGUGUGCCCCAGGCCCCCGUCCCUACUCCCCAGCGCUCUUCCGGAGCUAGGAGACCCUUAGUGGGGGAGGGGGGAGCAAGGUCUGAGCGUCCGGUGGGGGGAUGGGCGACCCAGCCCAGACCCUCGGAACUACAUUGCCCAGACUGCCCGGGGCGCAGCCAUCUUGGGGGCCCCCUUCCCCCAGACCCCCCCAAGUCUGGCCUGAGCGGUGCCGGUCGCCCCCGCCCCCCGUGGUCUCUCAACUCCGCAGCGCGGUGCGGGGACAGGGGAGUAAGCAACAGAGGCACUAAAGCCUUCCCCACCCCAAGCGACCCCCUCUUCCAGGCCACGCCCCAUCGGGGACUCCCCGCAGUCUGAGGCCGGGGGCGCCGGGGUCCCGGGCUGAGGGGGGAGGCCCGGGGGCGGGCCCGGGUCCGAGCGCGGAGGCCGGCCCGGCCUGGGGAGGGGGCGGCCCGCAGCGAGGCGGGCCCUUUAAGGGGGUGUGGUCGGGGAAGGGGGAGCCAGCGAGACACAGAGGCGGCGGCGGCGGCGGCGGCUCCGGAGGCUCCGGCGGCGGCUCCGGCUCGCGCGGCGGGGACAAAGGGCGGCGGCGGGGCGGGCCGGGGCGGGGCGCG